rnacentral:rRNA from 1 species
GUAGGUGGCAAGCGUUGUCCGGAAUUAUUGGGCGUAAAGCGCGCGCAGGCGGUCCUUUAAGUCUGAUGUGAAAGCCCACGGCUCAACCGUGGAGGGUCAUUGGAAACUGGGGGACUUGAGUACAGAAGAGGAAAGCGGAAUUCCAAGUGUAGCGGUGAAAUGCGUAGAGAUUUGGAGGAACACCAGUGGCAAAGGCGGCUUUCUGGUCUGUAACUGACGCUGAGGCGCGAAAGCGUGGGGAGCAAACAGGAUUAGAUACCCUGGUAGUCCACGCCGUAAACGAUGAGUGCUAAGUGUUAGGGGGUUUCCCGCCCCCCUUAGUGCUGCAGCUAACGCAUUAAGCACUCCGCCUGGGGGAGUACGGCCGCAAGGCUG